rnacentral:rRNA from 1 species
UACGUAGGCAGCGAGCGUUGUUCGGAGUUACUGGGCGUAAGAGCGUGUAGGCGGCCAGGUAGGUCUGCUGUGAAAACUCGAGGCUCAACCUCGAGACGUCGGCGGAAACCAUCUGGCUAGAGUCCGGAAGAGGAGAGUGGAAUUCCUGGUGUAGCGGUGAAAUGCGCAGAUAUCAGGAAGAACACCCGUGGCUAAGGCGGCUCUCUAGUACGGUACUGACGCUGAGACGCGAAAGCGUGGGGAGCAAACAGG